rnacentral:tRNA from 1 species
GGUCUUAUAUUCAUUAGGUGAUUAUAGAAUGCAAUUCUAUAGGGGUGGUUUUUACUACUAAGGCUU